rnacentral:lncRNA from 1 species
UUAGUGAUUGUCACUAUUGUCUAAUGAUUUUGUGAUAUCAUUAUGAAUGAUGUCAAAAUCAUGUGGACAACUGAGAAAUGAUAUUUAUGAAUAGUCAAAGCCUAUUAGUAUAUUGUACACAAUCAAACAAACUCUCUAAAGUAGAUAAUGUCAUAAAAGUCUACCUUUGAUAAUUUAGGCUUGAUCAUAUAAAUAAGAAUAGGAUCAAC